CUAUAAGCAGCCAAUAAACACCAUAAAAGAAGCAGGGGAAGACUUUUUACAAGGGAAGGAAUAAAACACAAGUGAAACUAAAGCUGCGCAACUAAACUUCGAACAGUAGCUCUAUACUCGGUGAGUUUAUUUUUUCAGCAUUCACGUGUUUUAUGCAAAUAUUUUCUUUUAUUGAUGUUAUAAACCAUUGCAGAUGUAUCAAGGUUUUUAUGUUGUGAAUUGGAUUUGUUUUCUAGCAUUUUCAUCGUCUUGUGAUCAGAUCACAAGUGUGACCAUCGAGAUUACGGAUGGCGACUGGGCCUGAACCAGGAAUUGUUCACUCAUGCAUUUGAAGGUGAAACGUCACAUGGAGCGAGUUGCGUUCUGGGAAACUGUAUACCAUGCAGUGUCUUCAGAUGUACAUCAAAUUUCAGCAAAUGUAGCAGAGCUUGGCAUUAAUUCACCAUGGAGUCCAGAGUUCAUCCAGGAGCUUCUCCCAUCUGCGGAGCGAACUGCUCUCCUCUAUCACCUGUCUUACCUGUGUCUGGGAGGCUUCCCAAAGUUGGAGCGUCUGAUCAGAGAACGAGCUAUAGAAACGCAACUGCUGUUUGGAUCAUCUGAGGCCGUUCUGCUGAAGUGCGUCGGCACAAGUUCCAACCUGGUCGCCUCCCUGUUCCCAAUACUGAAGAAAGCUGUUGAGAUGAACAAACCUGUUCUGGCAUUAAGGUACCUGGAGAAAGCCAAAGCAUGGAUCAGUGACAUCAUUACAGCGGUUGAUGACAUGGUGAAGAGGUAUGAUCAACAAAAUAAAAGUGUGGCAACAUGCACCAGUAAUGUGUUUGAAGAACAGGAAGAGACCCAAGAAAAACAAACAAAACACUCUGAUGAGAUGAAGGGUUUGGAGGAUGCUUUGGCCAAGCUUGAAGUGGAGCUGAGGAAAAAUGUUGACGAUAUGAAGAAAAAUGAGAAGAAAAUUAAAGACUCAACCAACGAGCUGCAGGAUCGCAUCAGAAAAUAUGAAGAAAAACAACGUUCCUUGUUUUUCAUGGUCUUUCAGAUACUGUUUGGAGUCAGUCAAGAUUUUUCGAAGAUAGCUGGUUAUGUUGCCAUAGAAGACAAACUGUCCCAUCUAGAGACUGAAAAGAACCAUCUGCGAAACAAUGAGUGGGACAUCAAAAUCCGACAAACUGAUCUUCAGCUGAAGCUGGCCACUAACAAAAUAAAAAUGGGUGAGAUUCCCAGUACUGUCCACCUGACAGAAGUCCAGCAGUGUCUUCAUCAAAUCCAGCAAGUUCUGGUUGAUCUUAAAAAGUUCUGGGAGAAGGUGGGUGUAACGCUGGACACGCUGAAAGACAAGACCUUUGUUGGGGAGGACAUCAUAGACCUGGAAGACCUGAAGGAUGUGUUUCUGGCCUCCAUCGAGGAAGCAGGAAAGUACUGGCAGAGAUUUGGUGCAUGCUCUCAGCGAGCGCAGGGCGUCUUCAGCGUUCAGUCAAAAGAUGCAUAUAAAUUCCUGGAGAUCAAUCCAUCUUGGCUGACUGAGGAGGAAAGGAGUAAGCAGUACGCGUCUAUCAUGAAGAAGCUGAAGAAAAACGGUCCUCGGGGCUCGUCCACAGCCACCAUCAAUGAGUGACAUGCAGAGAUCACUUGUCACUUUUGUCAUGCUUUGUGAUUUUUUUUUAUUUUAUUUUUUUUUUUUAAUUUAUUUUUUUUUUACAACUCAUACAUACUCUUUAGUGAUUUGAUUUUAAUAAUGGAUAUCUUGGUUGUAUGCCAACUGUCUUAAAACUGCUGGUUUGUAGACUUUGAGUCUAAAUUUAAGUCUUAGAGUGUUUUAAGAGUGUUUAUGUAGGCCUAGGUCCCUAUCUCAUGUAGUUUGUCCCAUAGGAGACUGUCAACCAGUGGCGGCUCGUCAGGGGAGGCACAGCUUCCCCAUAAUUUUGAGGUGAAAAUGGGAGGAGGACGAUUUAAUGUUAAUAAAAUUCACAAUUCAUUUCAGUUCCUGUCUCAAUGUUUUUUUUUUUUGUUUUUUUUUUUAAUUUCAGUUGUAAUAAAAUAACGUGAAAGCGCCGCUUUUCUAUCGCGAAUGUGCCGAAUCUGUUGGUGUAAUUGCGACCGCUAAUGAUAGAGAAGGGGAGGGGCAGGCCUGGGGAGAGCUGAGCUCUCGUGCCUCCGUUGGUAACAAAAAUUAGCCAAUCAGCAUCGAGUGUUCACUUUCAGCGCUGAGGAGUGUUGAGAAAAGAACCCUCAUGGGGGAGGCUAACCUCCUGAUAUCACCCAGUCAUCAUAGAGACGUAAAUUACCUGAUAUUAGUUCGAACGUCUGCCGCUGCGCUGAUAAUGUACCAAGUACUUAUGAGUAGCGAUAUGCUGUAUGUAUGUCGUUUUCUUUACGUUUUCUGACUAAAAGCAACCAAAAAGCC
ensembl:lncRNA uncharacterized LOC107674493